CAAGCUCCACCAUCAACUUAUCAAUCACUUCUACCUCCUACAUAUCAGUAUACUUCACCCAGAUAUUCCCAACCUGGACAUGUCUACACUACUACAAAAAAGCCUUUUAGUGGCAAUUAGCCAAUUGCCGAUAAAAUAAAUCUCUCUGCACAACCAUUAGCGACAAUUGAACAUUUGCCAAGAAAUAAUAUUUUUACCAGCGAUUCAAAGUAAUAGCCAGUAAAGGUUACUAAAUUAAAAGCCUAUUUUACUCAGUUCAUUCUCGCUCAAGUUUUUUCCCUAUAAAAUAAUCCCUCCGUGUACUAUGCAAAAAGGCAUCCACCCACAGUAAGCCGCAAGAUAGAGCAGAUGUCUCUCCCUCUCUCCCAUCAUUGUUGGCGCUUAACUUGUCUUUCUCACCGUCACCGGCCACUGUCACUAGUGGGUGAAGGAGAAUUUAUAAUACAGGGAUGUUUUCUAAGACUUCACAAUUUGCUGUCUUGUGUCAUCCUCUGACAUAGUAUACAUUUGUGUGCUAUGGAUCUUAUGGAUUUAUAAAACAAGGGGUCAGGAAAGCAAGCAGGGUGACCAAGCUGGUGAAGAAAGAUGUGAUUAAAUUACCGAUCUGAGUUGUGUACUAUUUAUUUUAAGGUGUCAAAACUCUAAAAGUUAAGGAUUUUGUCAUUUUUAUUUAUGGAUGUAAUGAAGUAUUAUAUUUUUAGAAUGAAUAAAAGUAGCGUAUUUAUUUUGCUACUUCAGGCCAUA